rnacentral:misc_RNA from 1 species
GUUAAUUUGAGUAGAAUAGCUCAAUAUUUCCCAAACACUAACAUCCCCUUAGGGUACAAAAUAUUGAGCUAUUCUACUCAAAUUAACAUGAUAUACCAAGUAAUCAUGCUGAUUAGAGCUGUAAUGAAUUAUCCUAUUCAUUUACAUUUUUGGCUUCUGCUGUCCUAAUUUUAUCUGUUAGAUCUAAACUCUCUUCCCAGACUCGAUCAUUUCUUUCUGGGAAUUCAAAAAGAAGGCUACUGCUACAUAUACAAAUUACAUGUUAUGCUUUAUUGUACAUCGAAGCAUUAAGACAACCUGAUAAUAGCACUUCAUUGAGUUUUGAUUGGGCAUUAUCCACAAAGAAAAACACCAAGCAAAUCCACACCUCUUACAUCUGGGACUUAUCAGGUUGCGAAGAGAGCUCCUUAUCAGCAAAAUGAAGCAGCCUUCUAAGCCUUAAAACCAUGUCACAGUGAAAUGGCAGUGCAGUCCGUCGCUCCAAAUAUGCUGGGCUCACAGUCAUCCACGAUAAGGCAUGAAGUUCAGCUGCUAUAGACUCAAGAAUCAAGUGGAUUUCAAUUUCUAAGUCUCUAACUUCAGAGCCUAAAGGUCGUCCACCUUGCUUCAUAACCCCCCUAGAGAUUUUCUCUUGAAUAACGUUAUUACCCCCAUAAUAAUCAAUGAGACUCACAGAAAGAAUUGAGGGCCAUUCUUCCCGCGAGUUGCUCCUGUAGUCUUUUCUCAUAGAAGGUACGGCUUUGGAAACCACAAAGCCCGUUGAGAGGGGAAUUGCAGAGCCCUUACUAUGGAGGAGAUGUGCAAGUGGUGGUGACUCAGCAGUGAGACAUGUGGGAAGCUGAAGAGGUGUUGGAGGGAGGAAGCGCAUGCUGGGUGAUGGAAUUAAAAUGUAAGACGCAGAAGAAGAACCGAGAGACUUUACAGGAGUGAAACCUUCCAAAUAGCCAGAAGCACCAACACCAUUGCCACUCUGAGUUCCUCCAGGAGAUGGUGAAUCUGCUUGAAAAACCAAAUGUAAAGAAUGGUCAAUCGAAAUUGCAACAAAACUGAUGCUCUGAACCCACUGAAGCAUUCCCCUUGAGCUGUCAACCACUGUGUGUCCACCUAUAAGCUGUUUUCUUGCAGAAGAUUGUCCUAAACCACCCUUCAUAAAGCCAGAACCUUUUGAGUGAGGGCUGUACAUUGGACUGGGUGAGGAAGGAAGAGUUCUCUCUUGCAUUAAACUCAUCUCCUGUUGUUGCAAGGUAGCCCCAUUACUACCAGCAGACAUCCCAUCGGGCAUAGAUCGCCGCAGUUGCAGGGGCCAUUUCUUCACCUCAGAACCCCCAACUGAAUAAAUAGCUUUCUGCCAUUCUAGGCAUUCAAGCUCAAAGAAAUUUCCAAUGCGUGUAAUCACAAAAUCUCUAGGCUUGGCAGAACCAAUAUCAUGAGAGAAGCAAGCCUGAAGUAUCUGACAGCCUUGCUGAAGAACUUGCACAAAGAGGCAUUGCAAGCCCUUUGUGUCCUGUCGACUGCUAAUUCCACCAAAAGGAAAUAUAUGGCUGUCAAGCAAUUCUCCCCGUGCAUCUGUCCAGAUGCACACUAGCCAACGCCAAUCCUCUGUCCAUCCAUAGCAACAAUGUAGGCUUGGAAGAGUCUUUUGGUAAGUACCUCCAACGCCAUCAGGCUCCAAUCCAUCAAGUUGAGAGCUUGAUCCAGUAUCUGAACUCGCUGCUGAACUGCCACUUUGCAUGAAGCCUCCACCACUAUCAUCAGAUAACAGCUUUGAAGAUUCUGCAGUUAAAUUACCAAAAACUCCAGGUGCAGCUGCAUGCUCUAGAGAACCAGGCUCUGAAAGAAUAAAAAGUGGCUCAAACAUGUAGUGAAUUUCAUCCUGAUGAAAAAGAUCUCCAUUUCUGCUUGGAUCACAGUUUAACCCUCCAGCCCUUGUUUGCCAUGAGUUAUCCCAAGUACCUGGUCUCAAGCCAGAAUCAAUUUCACCCUCUCUUGGAAGUGAAGGCCCUCCAAGUCGAGGACCAACACAAUCCUUCCAUAUUGCUGGAAUGGAAGUCAUUUGCUGCAUGACUGGAUGAGAUCUAUUAGACAAUGUUGAUGACUGAACAUCAUAUGACGAUCCUUUCGAAAUUCGCCGAGCCUUGUUGUAUACAGUGAAAGCAGUCUCUUUAAGAAUGACAAGUUCAUUAAGUGCAGGACUUGUAACCCUAAAAAUGGCAUCAACUGUCACAAUUUGCAAUACCAAUUUAGGAACAUUAAACCCUGAAAGUACUAGAACAUUUGAUGGUGAUGCUUCAUCCACAACUGCUGAGCAACUUAAAGCCUUGCCAACCUGACUCAGCAAUAGAGGCCUCCUCUCUCUAUCUGAUGGAAGAACUGUUGAUCCAACAGCAACAGAAGAUUCAAUGAUAGUU